rnacentral:lncRNA from 10 species
CUUUUCGAGGUCGGCCGCGUGGCUGGAAGACAUGGCCACUCCAGUCGGUGUUGAGCACGGCGAGCAGUCUCAGGCCUUUAGUGAUGAUGGUGCAGUCAGCCUCAGUUUCCAAAGCCGGAAAAGGAUCCUCUAGUAGCCACGGUGUGGCAGCUGCUCUGAACCAGGACCUGGACCCGGACCCAAAGUGCCAUGUCUUUAAUGUUAGCUCCCAGCGAUGCCAGAUGGGAUCAGCACAGCCCUGCCUCUGCUGCUAAUUGUUCCUCUAAAGUAAUCGCCAUGCGUUCUUUGGGCUUCAUCUUUAAAGGAAUGAAGCAACUGAGAUUAUUCUGGAAAACCUUUUGGCAGUUAGUGAAAUUAGAGUACAACUAAGAACAUUUUCAGACCUCCACUGUGGAUGACCUGGGUAUAAUCUCACAAAUCGAUGGGACUGCAAGGAUUGUAAACUGAAAUGAACAUGAUUAUACUCUGUUGGAAGAGCCUAAGAGGAAACUGAUGCCAUGAGUUUCAGAGAGUAAUGCUUAACCCCAGUUACACAGGAUGCCGUCUUGUGUUUCCUCUUGUUUAGUUACCCACUACAGUGAUUUUGUGAUCUGCUAAUGGGUUGCCACCCACAACCAUUGCUUUAGCACUUUUACUUCAAAUCAAUGAAGGAUUGAUAAAAGUUCUCCUGGUGUCUCCGCAGAGUGCCUUCCAGGAACAGAUCUUUGCAUAGAAUAUCAGUGGUUUCCUUUUUUGUUUCAAAUAGUGGUCAGAAAAUACCCAGUGUUGACUCACCAAGGCAAUCAGCUUCCUUUUUCCCUUUUUUUGUUUUUUUUUUAACAUUUUAUAUUUUUGCUUUAUUUUAUUUUAUUUUAUUUUAUUUUAUUUUAUUUUAUUUUAUUUUUUGAGACGGAGUUCCACUCUGUCGCCAGGCUGGAGUGAAGUGGUACAAUCUUGGCUCACUGCAACCUCCACCUCCCGGGUUCAAGCAAUUCUCCUGGCUCAGCCUCCUGAGUGCUGGGACUACAGGCGCGUACCUUCUUUAGUAGAGACUGGGUUUCACCAUGUUGGCCAGGAUGGUCUCUAUCUCCUGACCUUGUGAUCUGCCUGCCUCAGCUUCCCAAAGUGCUGAGAUGACAGGUGUGAGCCAUCAGACCCAGCAUUUUUUUUUUUAAUUUAAAUUUAAAUUUUUUUUCAUUUUUUUGAGAGGUUUUUUUUGUUUUGUUUUGUUGUUGUUGUUGUUGUUGUUUUUGAGACAGUCUUGCUCUGUCACCCAGGCUGGGAGUGCAGUGGCAUGAUCUCUGCAACCUCUACCUCCCAGGUUCAAGCAAUUCUUGUGCCUCAGCCUCCCAAGUAACUGGGACUACAGGUGCACGCUACCACACCUGGCUGAUUUUUUUUGUUUUAGUAGAGACAGGGUUUCAACCAUGUUGCCCAGGUUGGUCUCAAACUCCUGAGCUCAGGCAAUCCACCCGCCUUGGCCUCCCAAAGUGCUAGGAUUACAGGUGUGAGCCACCACACCCAGCUAUUUUUUCUUUCGUUUUUUAAUUUUAAAGUUGGGGGGGGGUCUCAAUUUGUUACCCUGGCUGGUCUCGAACUCCCGGACUUAAGCGAUCCUCUGGCUCCAAGCCCACUACCAGUCUCAGGUUUCUUUACUAAAAGAUCACUACCUUUUUUUCUCUUAUCUGCUGCCAUGUGAGAUGUGGCUUUCACCUUCCGCCAUGAUUGUGAGGCCUUCCCAGCCAUGUAGAACUGUAAGUCCAAUAAACCUCUUUUGUAAAUUAAAAAAAAAAAAUCACUAUUUAAGAUACUAGGAUGGAUUGUGACUGUUGAGGAGUACUUACAUAUCCUACAUUUGACUACAUUAUUUCCAAACCAAGUAUUCCAUCCAAAGGAACAUACUGCUAUCAUAGAGACCAAGGAGGGACUGUUUAAGGUUGCCAAGGUGAAGCGAGCUGAGAGGCUUUGUCCUCGUGCCAGUAACUCUGAAAUCUCUCUUAAUUCCUGCUGUCCAGGCAGCAGAAUGCCAUGGUUUCCCCAAGUAGGUAGCUGCUUUAGCAGUUAAAGCCCAAAUGUCUGUUCUGUUGAUCAGAGGUCUCUGAAUUUCUGAAGUGGUGUUUCGUUUCUGGUGACUGAGUUAAUCCUUUACAAUCCCUCUUGUAAAGUGUGCUAAUAGAAAGAAUCCACCUUUCAAAGCUGCAGAACCAGACCGUGCCCUAAAUUGACCAACGUAACUGAUGUGCCUCAGGAAGUCUCUUGCCAGCUGUCCCUGUGAAGACCCCCCUCCUCCCCCCCAGCUGCUGCCUUGCACACUGAAGCAUCUCAGACUGUGCAAAGCCGUGUAGUCAUCAAGACAGUAAAUCCCAGGGCUUGGUUAAGUGCUGUGUGAUAACUUGUUUGGAUGAGACUUAACUUAAAACCACUUACAAUAAACUUGGGAAACUAC